UAUGGGAUGUCCAUGAUAAGAACUGACUUUUGUUUUUUUCUACUUAUUAGAAAUGGGAUCUUUACAGCCCUUUAUAGUGUAAUAAUGUCCCGUAUCUUAAAAAUGCUGCAGUAAAAUGGUUUGAUAUGAGCUGUGCAAAUAGUAUGGGACAUCCCUUAUAGGAACAGACCAUUGUUUUUUUUCUUCUUAUUAGAAAUGGGAUCUUUACAGCCAUUUAAAGUGUAAUAAUGUCCCAUAUCUCGAAAAUGCUGCAGUAAAAUGGUUUGAUAUGAGGUGUGCAUAUAGUAUGGCAUGUCCUUUAUAAGAACUGACCAUUGUUUUUUUCUACUUAUUAGAAAUUAUGUCUUUAUGGCCCUCCAAAUCACCAUUUGGACCCAUAUCUCAAAAAUGCUGCAGUAAAAUUGUUUGAUAUGAGGUGUGCAUAUAGUAUGGCAUAUCCUUUAUAAGAACUGACCAUUGUUUUUUUCUACUUAUUAGAAAUGGGGUCUUUAUAGCCCUUUAAAGUGUAAUAAUGUCCCAUAUCUCAAAAAUGCUGCAGUAAAAGGGUUUGAUAUGAGGUGUGCAUAUAGUAUGGGAUGUCCUUUAUAAGAACUGACCAUUGUUUUUUUCUACUUAUUAGAAAUGAUGUCUUUAUAGCCCUCCAAAUCACCAUUUGGACCCAUAUCUCAAAAAUGCUGCAGUAAAAUGGUUUGAUAUGAGGUGUGCAUAUAGUAUGGGAUGUCCCUGAUAAGAACUGACUUUUGUUUUUUUCUACUUAUUAGAAAUGGGAUCUUUAUAGCCCUUUAAAGUGUAAUAAUGUCCCAUAUCUUGAAAAUGCUGCAGUAAAAUGGUUUGAUAUGAGGUGUGCAUAUAGUAUGGGAUGUCCCUGAUAAGAACUGAUAUUUGUUUUUUUCUACUUAUUAGAAAUGGGAUCUUUAUAGCCCUUUAAAUUCUAAUAAUGUCCCAUAUCUCGUAAAUGCUGCAGUAAAAGGGUUUGAUAUGAGGUGUGCAUAUAGUAUGGGAUGUCCUUUAUAAGAACUGACCAUUGUUUUUUUCUACUUAUUAGAAAUGAUGUCUUUAUAGCCCUCCAAAUCACCAUUUGGACCCAUAUCUCAAAAAUGCUGCAGUAAAAUGGUUUGAUAUGAGGUGUGCAUAUAGUAUGGGAUGUCCCUGAUAAGAACUGACUUUUGUUUUUUUCUACUUAUUAGAAAUGGGAUCUUUAUAGCCCUUUAAAGUGUAAUAAUGUCCCAUAUCUUGAAAAUGCUGGAGUAAAAUGGUUUGAUAUGAGGUGUGCAUAUAGUAUGGGACAUCCCUGAUAAGAACUGACUGUUGCUUUUUUCUACUUAUUACAAAUGGGAUCUUUACAGCCAUUUAAAGUGUAAUAAUGUCCCAUAUCUCAAAAAUGCUGCAGUAAAAUGGUUUGAUAUGAGGUGUGCAUAUAG